ACGGGGUGCAGCAGGCGCGAAAACUUUACAAUGCUGGAAACAGCGAUAAGGGGACCUCGAGUGCCAGGUUACAAAUCUGGCUGUCGUGAUGCCUAAAAAGCAUUGCAUAGCAAGGGCCGGGCAAGACCGGUGCCAGCCGCCGCGGUAACACCGGCGGCUCGAGUGGUAACCGUUAUUAUUGGGUCUAAAGGGUCUGUAGCCGGCCGGAUAAGUCUCUUGGGAAAUCUGGCAGCUUAACUGUCAGGCUUUCAGGAGAUACUGUCUGGCUCGAGGCCGGGAGAGGUGGGAGGUACUUCAGGGGUAGGAGUGAAAUCUUGUAAUCCUUGAAGGACCACCAGUGGCGAAGGCGUCUCACCAGAACGGACCUGACGGCAAGGGACGAAAGCUAGGGGCACGAACCGGAUUAGAUACCCGGGUAGUCCUAGCCGUAAACGAUACUCGCUAGGUGUCGGCCACGGUGCGACCGUUGUCGGUGCCGUAGGGAAGCCGUGAAGCGAGCCACCUGGGAAGUACGGCCGCAAGGCUGAAACUUAAAGGAAUUGGCGGGGGAGCAC
rnacentral:rRNA from 1 species